CAUCCAUAUAGCAUAUGAUACAAAUAGCGGACACUACCUUUCUCUUUUACGAAGGGAAAACAGUUGGAUAAAAUUUGAUGACUCUAAGGUGACAAUUGUAGAAGAAUUAAAUUAUGGUGAGGAAGGAAAUUUUCUGUUCUAUCAAAAAGUAAGAAUACAUUUCAUUUAGUCAACUUAUCUAGUUAUAUAUGGUAGUUUGGUCAAAGUUUGAUUAAACCAUAAUAUAACAUUUAAACCAUAAAAGUGUCAAAGUUUGAUCAAAGUUUGCAGAUGUUAUUGUGUUAAACCUCUGACAACUAUAGCUUUGGAUUUUGCCAUCUGAAUUUUUUUUAAUGAAUUUUGCCAUCUGAAUAGGUCAUGCAAAAAAGCGAAGAUUUAAAACUGAGAAGAAGUUCUAGGAUCACAAAAAAAGAAACAUCAAGCUCGAGGAAGGUAUGGAACUUAUAGUUGAAGUAUCUUAUCUAAUUGCUAAUUGAUAGCAAUUUUGGUGUUAACUCUAUCCUUCCUUGGUGAUUCCUGUCUGUAUUUUCUUAAACAGAGUUACACAUGAUAUUUUUGUAUUGGUGCUGACUGUGUGGUAGGGCGGGGAAGGGUAGGGGGGGCCAGCGUGGAGCCUAUCACUGUUAACUGUAUACAUAUUUCAUUCUUCCAAAAACAUUAUCUGACACUUUCUAAUUGGCACAAAUAAUCUUUUUGUGAGAAUAGAUCAUACAUACGUGCACCAAAAAAUUAGGGACGGCACAGCAUCCUAUAUUAUACAUAAGUGCCCUAAAUGUUUGCAGAUGUUAUUGUGUUAAACCUCUGACAACUAUAGCUUUGGAUUUUUCCAUCUGAAUUUUUUUUUAAUGAAUUUUGCCAUCUGAA